rnacentral:rRNA from 1 species
AUUGAACGCUGGCGGCAUGCCUUACACAUGCAAGUCGAACGGUAACAGGUCUUCGGAUGCUGACGAGUGGCGAACGGGUGAGUAAUACUUCGGAACGUGCCCGAUCGUGGGGGAUAACGAGGCGAAAGCUUUGCUAAUACCGCAUACGAUCUACGGAUGAAAGCGGGGGAUCUUCGGACCUCGCGCGGACGGAGCGGCCGAUGGCAGAUUAGGUAGUUGGUGGGAUAAAAGCUUACCAAGCCGACGAUCUGUAGCUGGUCUGAGAGGAUGAUCAGCCACAUUGGGACUGAGACACGGCCCAGACUCCUACGGGAGGCAGCAGUGGGGAAUUUUGGACAAUGGGCGAAAGCCUGAUCCAGCCAUGCCGCGUGCAGGAUGAAGGCCUUCGGGUUGUAAACUGCUUUUGUACGGAACGAAAAGCCUCUUUCUAAUAAAGAGGGGUCAUGACGGUACCGUAAGAAUAAGCACCGGCUAACUACGUG